CUAGCCCUGCCCGGCCCCGGAGGACUUGCAACACUCCGAGACCAGGAACGCUCCGUCUGGAACGGCGCAGGCCCAGGCCAUGGCUAUGAUGGGGAGGAGAGAGCGGUGAGUGAUAGCUUCGGGCCUGGAGAGUGGGAUGACCGGAAAGUGCGACACACUUUUAUCCGAAAGGUUUACUCCAUCAUCUCCGUGCAGCUGCUCAUCACUGUGGCCAUCAUCGCUAUCUUCACCUUUGUGGAACCUGUCAGCGCCUUUGUGAGGAGAAAUGUGGCUGUCUACUACGUGUCCUAUGCUGUCUUCGUUGUCACCUACCUGAUCCUUGCCUGCUGCCAGGGACCCAGGUCUGUCUCAUUGGCCCAUGUUGUCCCUGCGUACCACACCUGAACAGGUGCCAAAGGCCAUGCCAACCUCCCUCCUUGGAGUCAAGGCUUAAUCCUCCAGGCACAGGAGCCAAGCGCUUCCUUCUGCUGUAGGAGCCUCUGACGCCUGAGGGGCCCAAGUCAUUUAAUCAAGGCUUCUCUUUCCCUUCAGACGCCGUUUCCCAUGGAACAUCAUCCUGCUGACCCUUUUU
rnacentral:sRNA from 1 species